UACAGAGGGGGCGAGCGUUGUUCGGAAUUACUGGGCGUAAAGGGCGUGUAGGUGGUUACGUAAGUCUGGCGUGAAAUAUCUCGGCUUAACCGAGGCAGGUCGUCGGAUACUGCGAGACUAGAGGACGGUAGAGGCGUGUGGAAUUCCGGGUGUAGUGGUGAAAUGCGUAGAGAUCCGGAGGAACACCAGUGGCGAAGGCGACACGCUGGGCCGUACCUGACACUGAUGCGCGACAGCAUGGGGAGCAAACAGG
rnacentral:rRNA from 1 species